CGGGUAGAUGCACAGAUAGUCAGUACUGCCACUGCACAUGCUAAGAAAGACAUGCUCCAAAUUUGAUUCGCUCAUAAUACAUUUGGAAAAAAAUCUCUAUUGAAGAUUUUUCAAAGAACCAGAAACAUUACUUUGAGAAUUUCAUAUUCUAUCACUAACUUUGGGGAAAUUCAUUCAAGACUUGCUUUAUGAGCACAAAUAAAGCACAAAAUAGAGGCUGUGUCAGAUAUACAGUAGGAAGUUUAUCUGCAGAAACGGUGUGUUCCUCUUCUCACUCUGACUAAAGGCAGGCUGACUGAAGACCUUCUGCUCAGAUUCACCUCAGAGAUAUUUCAUGAAAAAGGGAUUUUAUCAUUAACUGAGAAGAAUGGUGACUGUCACCUACAUAUUUAUUUGCUUCUUUUGCAUUAAUUCAUUAACAGAAGCCACAGGAGAGAAUUCAAGUUCCCAACAGUGUGUGGAUAUGCAGGGCUGUUGUAAGCACAAAGUGGUGAAUGACACCUGCACUGUUGGAGAUUAUAUCUGGCAGUGCAUUACUCAUCCAAACACUAUCUUUGGACUUGGUGCGGGGGUUUUGGGGGCUUCUUUCGUCUUCUUUAUUGGAUGCUGCAUAAAUGGGACAUGUAAAAGGCUGAGAAAACAAAGGGAAAAAAGUAAAUCAGAAAAUCAAAAGUGUCUUGAAACUUUUGAGAUGGAAAUAAAUGACACACAGGCCCCAGUGCAAGUGGACCCAUCUCAGGCCCAGACCAAUGAACCCCAGAACAGUGAAAAUGUGGACGAAGCAGAUGUGGACUAUGCCGACAUCGACCUCGAGAAACUCAAGGAGAAGAAAGUCCCCGAAGGGACGGAGAGGCCUGCCAACUCAGACUACGCAGAAAUAAAACUCACUGCGCAGCACGCUGACUGUGAUGAUGCCACAGAGACGGUCUAGGAG
rnacentral:lncRNA from 1 species